AUUGAACGCUGGCGGCAGGCCUAACACAUGCAAGUCGAACGAGUGGCGGACGUGUUAGUAAUGUCUGUGAAACUUCCUGGUGGAGGGGAAUACCUACUGGAAACGGUAGCUAAUACCGCAUACCAUCGGAUGUGCCCAGAUGGGAUUAGCUAGUAGGUGGGGUAACGGCUCACCUGGGCGACGAUCCCUAGCUGGUCUGAGAGGAUGACCAGCCAAACUGGAACUGAGAACAGGUCCAGACUCCGACGGGAGGCAGCGGGGGGGAAUAUUGCACAAUGGGCGCAAGCCUGAUGCAGCAAUGCCGCGUGUAUGAAGAAGGCCUUCGGGUUGUAAAGUACUUUCAGCGGGGAGGCGUUACUCGCAGAAGAAGCACCGGCUAACUCCGUGCCAGCAGCCGCGGUAAUAC
rnacentral:rRNA from 1 species